rnacentral:rRNA from 1 species
UACGGAGGGUGCAAGCGUUGUCCGGAUUUAUUGGGUUUAAAGGGUGCGUAGGCGGUCUAUUAAGUCAGAGGUGAAAGCCCACAGCUUAACUGUGGAACUGCCUUUGAUACUGGUUGACUUGAGUACACUAGAGGUAGGCGGAAUUUAUGAUGUAGCGGUGAAAUGCUUAGAUAUCAUAAAGAACUCCUAUAGCGAAGGCAGCUUACUGGAGUGUAACUGACGCUGAGGCACGAAAGCGUGGGUAGCAAACAGG